AGCGAACGCUGGCGGCAGGCCUAACACAUGCAAGUCGAACGAACCUUUCGGGGUUAGUGGCGGACGGGUGAGUAACACGUGGGAACGUGCCUUUAGGUUCGGAAUCACUCAGGGAAACUUGUGCUAAUACCGAAUGUGCCCUUCGGGGGAAAGAUUAAUCGCCUUUAGAGCGGCCCGCGUCUGAUUAGCUAGUUGGUUGAGGUAAUGGCUCACCAAGGCGACGAUCAGUAGCUGGUCUGAGAGGAUGAUCAGCCACAUUGGGACUGAGACACGGACCAAACUCCUACGGGAGGCAGCAGUGGGGAAUCUUGCGCAAUGAGCGAAAGCCUGACGCAGCCAUGCCGCGUGAAUGAUGAAGGUCUUAGGAUUGUAAAAUUCUUUCACCGGGGACGAUAAUGACGGUACCCGGAGAAGAAGCCCCGGCUAACUUCGUG
rnacentral:rRNA from 1 species